rnacentral:rRNA from 1 species
GAGUAUUAUUAGAUAUGAUCUUUAAACUUAAAGAAUUUGGCGGUAUUAUAGUCUAUUUAGAGGAAUCUGUUAUAUAAUCGAUAAUCCACGUUGAACCUUACUUAUAUAAAUUCUUGUAUACCGCUGUUUAAGAAUAUACUUUUAGGUAAAUUUUCAAAAUAUAAUAAUAAUUAAUAUUUCAAGUCAAGGUGCAGUUAUAUAUAAGUUGAGUAAUGGAUUACAAUAAAAUUUAUUUAUUACGGAUUUAUUGUUAUAAUAAUAAUUUGAAGGUGGAUUUAAAUGUAAUUUUAUAUAGAUUAUUAAAAUGAUUUUUAGCCCUAUAAUAUGU